rnacentral:rRNA from 1 species
AGUGAACGCUGGCGGUAGGCCUAACACAUGCAAGUCGAACGGCAGCACAGUAAGAGCUUGCUCUUACGGGUGGCGAGUGGCGGACGGGUGAGGAAUACAUCGGAAUCUACUUUUUCGUGGGGGAUAACGUAGGGAAACUUACGCUAAUACCGCAUACGACCUACGGGUGAAAGCAGGGGAUCUUCGGACCUUGCGCGAUUGAAUGAGCCGAUGUCGGAUUAGCUAGUUGGCGGGGUAAAGGCCCACCAAGGCGACGAUCCGUAGCUGGUCUGAGAGGCUGAUCAGCCACACUGGAACUGAGACACGGUCCAGACUCCUACGGGAGGCAGCAGUGGGGAAUAUUGGACAAUGGGCGCAAGCAUGAUCCAGCCAUACCGCGUGGGUGAAGAAGGCCUUCGGGUUGUAAAGCCCUUUUGUUGGGAAAGAAAAGCAGCAGGUUAAUACCCCGCUGUUCUGACGGUACCCAAAGAAUAAGCACCGGCUAACUUCGUG